rnacentral:rRNA from 2 species
CGAGAAACCUUUGCAAUGUGCGCAAGCACGACAAGGUUAAUCCGAGUGGUUCCUGCUAAAGGAAUCUUUUGUUAGUUGUAAAACCACCGAUGAAUAAGGGGUGGGCAAGUUCUGGUGUCAGCCGCCGCGGUAAAACCAGCACCUCAAGUGGUCAGGAGGGUUAUUGGGCCUAAAGCAUCCGUAGCCUGUCCUGUAAGUUUCCGGUUAAAUCCAUUUGCUCAACGUAUAGGCUGCCGGGAAUGCUGCAAAGCUAGGGAGUGGGAGAGGUAGACGGUACUCGGUAGGAAGGGGUAAAAUCCUUUGAUCUAUUGAUGACUACCUGUGGCGAAGGCGGUCUACCAGAACACGUCCGACGGUGAGGGAUGAAAGCUGGGGGAGCAAACCGGAUUAGAUACCCGGGUAGUCCCAGCCGUAAACCAUGCAAACUCAGUGAUGCAUUGGCUUGUGGCCAAUGCAGUGCUGCAGGGAAGCCGUUAAGUUUGCCGCCUGGGAAGUACGUACGCAAGUAUGAAACUU